UUUAUGCACCUUGCGUGCAGUUGUCAUUUCAUUGUUUUAACCUAACAAACAUCGUCACAAGUAAACUCGAUUCACUAUACACGCUAACUCUGAAGUACCCAUUAAAUGAGUUCCAUGUACCCAUUUUUAUGAACAGUACUGAGUUGUCAGAAAAAGAGUAUUUUUCGAAUGUCAUAAAAAGGGUACUUAAUCCCCAUAACGAAGCUUCCAAUGGAUCAACAAUAAUGGGUAGAUAAUACACAUGAUAGUCUAAAGAACAGCACCGCCAUUUUCCAGUUGUUGUUGCGGUUCUGUUUAUUUUUAGUUGAAUGAAAAUCUGAUGCAGAAGUUUUUGUGUUUGCUGUCUGGAGCAUAUCUUAUAAUCAAAAUUCUACUGGCAGUCAUAAUCAAAAUAUCUUUUAAGAAUCCGGAAAUGGACGUGUCGGUGGUGGCACAAUAAUUUCAAGAGCCCAUUUUCAAUACGCUGCAAUGGAGAACAGAAAUAGUGUCCGGGAACGAGAAAUGUUUUGCUUGAAGGAUCCAUUGGAGAAUCUACGAUCGGCAUUUUAAUAGUUAAAAAGUAUAUGUAAAUAUGACGAAAAUGUAUGACCAAGACUUAAAAUAAUAAAUAUGUGUUGUUUCAUUCAUA
rnacentral:lncRNA from 1 species